rnacentral:rRNA from 1 species
CGGUAAUUCCAGCUCCAAUAGCGUAUACUAAAGUUGUUGCAGUUAAAAAGCUCGUAGUUGGAUUUCUGCGGGGACGGAGCGGCCGGACGCAACUUGCGUCUCGAGCUAGCGCUUUCCCCGCAUCCUGCCGCGAACCGUGCUACCAUUAGUUUGGUGGCGCUGGGGAUCGGCUCGAUUACUUUGAGAAAAAUAGAGUGUUCAAAGCAGGCCACACGCCUUGAAUAAGUUAGCAUGGAAUAAUGACUAAGGACUUUGGUUCUUUUCGUUGGUGUUCGGGACUGAAGUAAUGAUUGAUAGGGACAGUUGGGGCGGUCCGUAUUCCAAAGCGAGAGGUGAAAUUCUUAGACCUUCGGAAGACGAACAGCUGCGAAAGCGUUCCGCAAGGAUGUUCCCUUUGAUCAAGAACGAAAGUUGGGGGAUCGAAGACGAUCAGAUACCGUCGUAGUCUCAACUAUAAACUAUACCAGCUAGGGAUCGGCCAACGUUUAAUUAUUCGACUUGGUCGGCACCUUAUGAGAAAUCAAAGCAUCUGGGUUCCGGGGGGAGUAUGGUCGCAAGGCUGAAACUUAAAGGAAUUGACGGAAGGGCACCACCAGCCGUGGAGCCUGUGGCUUAAUUUGACUCAACACGGGAAAACUUACCAGGUCCAGACAUAGGAAGGAUUGACAGAUUGAUAGCUCUUUCUUGAUUCUGUGGGUGGUGGUGCAUGGCCGUUUUUAGUCGGUGAAGUGAUUUGUCUGCUUAAUUGCGUUAACGGACGAGACCCCAGCCUGCUAAAUAGCGCGGCCGAGCUUUGCUCGGUGCGAGCUUCUUAGAGGGACCAUGAUACGCGAUAGCACAAGGAAGUUUGGGGCAACAACAGGUCUGUGAUGCCCUUAGAUGUUCUGGUCCGCACACGGGCUACACUGGCGCCUGCAACGAGCAUAUCAGCUGGCCCGAGAGGGUCUUGGCUAAUCUUUGGAACCGGCGCCGUGCUUGGGAUUGACCAUUGCAAUUGUUGGUCAUGCAACGAGGAAUGCCUUGUAAACGCGAGUCAUCAGCUCGCAUUGAAUACGUCCCUGCCCUUUGUACACACCGCCCGUCGCUCCUACCGAUGAAUGUUCCGAUGAAAUUUUCGGAGAGCGCCAAAGAACGGGGCUCUGCCUUGCAGAUCUGGAGGCUCAAAGUCACUUAAAUCUGAACAUUUCGAGGAAGGAGAAGUCGUAACAAGGUAACC